rnacentral:rRNA from 1 species
GACGAACGCUGGCGGCGCGCUUAACACAUGCAAGUCGAACGGAAAGGCCUGCUUUCCCUUGUGGAUUGCGGGUACUCGAGUGGCGAACGGGUGAGUAACACGUGAGUGAUCUGCCCCCAACUUGGGUAUAAGCCUGGGAAACUGGGUCUAAUUCCCGAUAGGACUGCAGGGUGGUGCCUGUGGUGGAAAACGAUUUUCUAGUGGUUGGGGAUGAGCUCGCGGCCUAUCAGCUUGUUGGUGGGGUAAUGGCCUACCAAGGCGGCGACAGGUAGCCGGCCUGAGAGGGUGGACGGCCACAUUGGGAUUGAGAUACGGCCCAGACUCCUACGGGAGGCAGCAGUGGGGAAUAUUGCACAAUGGGCGGAAGCCUGAUGCAGCGACGCCGCGUGGGGGAUGACGGCCUUCGGGUUGUAAACUCCUUUCGACCGCGAGGAAGCCACCUGGUUGGAAGGGUGGUGACGGUAGUGGUAGAAGAAGCACCGGCUAACUACGUG